rnacentral:sRNA from 1 species
GCCAAAUGUGGUGGAGCGCACCUGUAGUCCCAGCUUCCUGGGAGGCUGAGAAGGGAGCUUCCCUUGAGCCCAGGAGUUCAAGGCUGCAGUGAACUAGGAUCACAUCGCUGCACUCCAGCCUGGGAGACAGAGAGAGACCCUGUCUCUAAAAAAUAAAUGAAUUAUGAGGCAUGAGAAUGGUAUGAACCUGGGAACCAGAGCUUGCAGUGAGCAGAGAUCACGACACUGCACUCCAGCCUGGGCGACAGAGCGAGACUCUGUCUCA